rnacentral:rRNA from 1 species
GACGAACGCUGGCGGCGUGCUUAACACAUGCAAGUCGAACGAUGAAGCCGGAGCUUGCUCCGGUGGAUUAGUGGCGAACGGGUGAGUAACACGUGAGCAAUCUGCCCUUGACUCUGGGAUAACUGCGGGAAACUGUAGCUAAUACUGGAUACGACACCUUGGGGCAUCCCAGGGUGUGGAAAGAAUUUCGGGCAAGGAUGAGCUCGCGGCCUAUCAGCUGGUUGGGGAGGUAAUGGCUCACCAAGGCGACGACGGGUAGCCGGCCUGAGAGGGUGACCGGCCACACUGGAACUGAGACACGGUCCAGACUCCUACGGGAGGCAGCAGUGGGGAAUAUUGCACAAUGGGCGAAAGCCUGAUGCAGCAACGCCGCGUGAGGGAUGAAGGCCUUCGGGUUGUAAACCUCUUUUAGCAGGGAAGAAGCGAAAGUGACGGUACCUGCAGAAAAAGCACCGGCUAACUACGUGCCAGCAGCCGCCGUAA